GAUGAAUGGAUGCAUGUAUUUUUUCAGCUUGUUUUAGCUGUAUCAACCUUUGUGUCCAGUAGCUGUGACAAACAAAGGAAUUAAACCUCAGCAAGAUGAAAUAGUGCCUCAUGUGAGCGUUGAGCAGAAAGACAAGAAACAUGAAAUGAGUUCAGAAUAACAUUGCACGCCUCAAAAGAAUAUAAGCCUGGAAAGUAAACCUCUGUUGUCUUUCCUAAUAUGAAGAAAAUGAGCUAGCUUAAAAUUACUCUUGCCACUGUAGGUCAAACAGGAGACUAUGGAGAUGAGAUCAGUAUCCUAAGCUGGAGGGACUGCGCUGGUGGUUCAGCACUUCUGCAUGAGCACAAUUAAUUACAUAGGUUUUCAACAGUCACAAAGGAGGAAAAAUAUUGGUGAGAGGAAUACUUAAAAACAAAAGGCUCUGCGCAAGCAAGAGGACCUCACUGUCCUAAUCCUUUCUGACAGACUGCUUGCUGGCCGAG
ensembl:lncRNA